CAGCGGCGUAAGAUGAUGGGUACGCCGGCGACGCGCCGCGCCGCCGGGGAGCGCCGCGUCGUCAUGCCCGGCGAGGCCCACCCCCCGAGCCCCAACGAUCCACCGGCGGCCAGGUACACAGGUGUGGCAAAAAGGUCGGGGUUGUGAUGAUAUGGCACCACGUAAGGGAUGGUCUGAUCACCAACAACCCUUUGCCACGUCUAAUCAUUAACUUUCAUUGGUCCAUGCAGAAUCAAUUCCCCUUAGGGAUGGCCUUCUUGUGGUCCUGUGCUACUUGAUGCUAUGUGACAUGAUGAAUUUGGCAGGAUUGAAAUGGACUUAGCCACUAACUGCACUUUCAGUUUAUCUCAACCAUGGGCAUCAUUGCCGCUGAGCAUAAGAGUAGUACACGCACCCAUUUAGUUUUGCUUACUCAGUGCGUAACUUCGUGUCGUCACCUGAGAAAGACAGCUAGUACUUGUUGAAAGUUACAGAUCCUGACUCAUCUAUGAAGUUCUCAGCUAUCUCUCUCUCUCUUUUUUCGGUAUGUACAUAUGACUCAGAUACUGCAUGGAAACUGAUUUUGUUUUGUCCCCCUAAUUUUCUUCUGAAAUUGCUUUGCCCGAAAUAUUUAUUUUUUUGGUAAGUGCUUUGCUUAUUCAUGACAAGGCAUUUGGACUCACUUAGGGGAAUGCUUUGCAUGAUAAAGCAUGCGCACCAUGUGGUCAAUGCCACCAUAUCAUGCAGCCUUUAUGAUGUAACUAUGGGCAGGUCAACAGGGUUUGAUGCACUUACUAAGCACAUAUAAUGCGCAAACUAGAAUAUAGGAUCAAUGAACAGUAAAACGUGGAACAAACUGAAGUCAACCAUUCAUGCUGUUCCAAUUAUGAUUAGUGUUCAUAUGUACUGUCAUUUAAACUUGAUACUAAUAACUCUACAAUUUUCACAUUCUUGAAAAGCAAAUGAAGCAGUAAUUAACUGAUCUAUGUCUUAUCUAGCUGGACCAUACUAAUGUGUCAUUAUGCUAUGCAAAAUUUAAUAAGUACAUUCCAUAAGCACUGUUCUUCUGCUACUCUGCUGUACUAGUUUACUGGUACAAGUAGAAGUGUAUCCAUGUAAUUCCCGGUCUGCUUGCUCCUUGUAGUCCCACAUAGUAAACUCAAACCAUAUUUCUUCUUAAUACAAAUUAUGCAGAUCUCCUGUGUAUUCUCAAAAAAGUCAUUCCUGAUACCUGCAAUUCCUGUUCUACCGAAGAAGACGUUGAACAGCAUAGGAGGACUGCUAAUAUAUGAAAAACUGAAAUAGGAUUCUACUGGGAAGAGUUUAUGAUUACAAGUGUUAAUUAAAUUUAUUAUUAUCCUUUUGAAUGCACUAGUUGUUUUGCUUACUUUUGUUACUAGAGAAGUAAGAAAAAAAAUCGAUUUUUCAGGCAGAGUACUUUGAAUAGAAUUUUAUACCCAUGCAAUUGAUUUUAUCUUCAAAUAUUUGAUCUUUUGAUUUCAUUUUUACAUGGAAGACUUGAGAUUGAAAAGUUGAUCUAACAUGUUAUUUCUUCUUAAAGGAGUCCUCAAGAAUUACUGGAUGUGAGGUGAGACUUGCGGUUUUUAGCUGCUCACCCAAAGUUCCAGUUGGUCAGUUAUGGUACACUUCAAAACAUCAUGCCUGCCCAAGGAAACUGCGAUGGAACGCAAUAUCAGCGCUGCUAGGGUACCUAUGUGAUUCCUGAACAGUCAACUUCUGGGCCAGGCGAAAGUGCUGCAAGUGCAAUACGCACAGAUGGACCAUGCAGGUGUCCUGCCGCCCCUAUAGUGGAUCUUCUUAGUGCUGCUACCACAUGAAUCCGUCUGUGAUGGCUGCCUUCCUCCUCAUGUCAUGCAGGCGUCACAGCCAUGCCUCUUGACCAUUGCUACUAUCAGUUGCCGUACAUUUCCACCAUAAAGUUGCAAAGACUUCAGUGGAGUUGUGGGAAAGUACAGAGGGAGCAUCACUUGGAAAUGAAGCCACUCAGGUUCCAUGUGCCCCCUUUCACCCAUCCAUUCUAUAUCCAUUUUGGCAAACUGCUUCGUCAAAAAGUGGCUUGUCAAUCAUCAUUUCAAGUUACCCUCCAUGGUCAGUUUGCAAUCGCAAGAGGGACAGGGAACAGGUUUGGCAGAAAUUUACCACUAUGACAGCUAUUUACGAUGGCGACACUGAGGAUGCUGAAUCUUUCGGUACAUACCACCUUGCUAAGUAAGCGGCGGACCAAUUGGUAAAGGACAACAUUUUUAUUUGGCAGGAAAGGCUACCCACAGAUAGCAAGCGCCCGUGUCAAUGUUGUUUGUGCAGCUUACAAGGACAAUCCUUCGUCCUGAUCGUCAGAAUCUUCGACCCCUUCCCUUUAGGGAUGGCGUUUUAUGCAUGCCGUGUCUUUUUAGGGCAGGACAUGCAGGAUUAGUCCAGGUCCACUUGAUGCUGGCUGGGGCAGCGGUGGCGCUGCUGGAGGCAGCCGCAGGGAUACACGUGGGCUACCUAACUCCCCGUGAGUGGGUCCCACGCGUCAUACACAGGAGGCUUCCAUGGGUCCCGCUGCCCGGGUGACGUGCUGAUGACGUAACUCUGCCUCUGUAUCCCUGUGCCACGAAGAUGAUCAAGGGCCUACCAACUAUGCAAGCUCUUCAAUGGCAGCAUGACUUCUUUUCUUUCAGUCCGGCAAGUCGGCAUGUGUCAUCUUUCUUUGAGUAGAGAUCAUCACCGACGGAACCAGCUGGGACGUCACGGUUGAACAUGGUGCCGCGUUCCUGCGCCUCCUUGGUCCAAGCAUCGGCUGAAGGAGCAGAGAUCCCUCGUCAUUGCCUUGCCGACAGUUAGGCUCCGAGAAAGAUUUGCUCAGACAGUAGAACGAUAUCUCCCACAGGCAUAUCCAGCGACUCGAUUGACGGGCCAAGUAGGGGCCCGGCCGGAUCAGCAAUCUGGCACAUUUGUCGUCGGUCGAUCUUGCUGUCGUCGGCGCGUUUAGUUACCAAAAAUUUUCAGCUCCAAAUUUGUGACUCUCUCUUUGAACAUGUGUAUGGAGUAUUAAAUGUAGUUAAACAACAAAACUAAUUGCACAAUUUGGAUGUACACGGCGAGAUGAAUUUUUUAA